UGCUUGCAUAGCUCAGAUGGAUAGAGCAUUCGUCUUCUAAGCGAACGGUCGCAAGUUCGAAUCUUGCUGCAAGUGU
rnacentral:tRNA from 1 species